rnacentral:rRNA from 1 species
GGAGGGCAAGUCUGGUGCCAGCAGCCGCGGUAAUUCCAGCUCCAAUAGCGUAUAUUAAAGUUGUUGCAGUUAAAAAGCUCGUAGUUGAAUUUCGGGGUUCUACCGUUGGUCGGGCUUUGUCUGUACUGGUGUGUAGAAUUUCUACCUUCUGCUGAACCAUCAUGCUAUUAAUUUAGCGUGGUGGGAAACCAGGACCUUUACCUUGAAAAAAUUAGUGUGUUCAAAGCAGGCUUAUGUCUGAAUACAUUAGCGUGGAAUAAUAGAAUAGGACGGUGGUCCUGUUUUGUUGGUUUCUGAAUCACCGUAAUGAUUAAUAGGGAUAGUUGGGGGCAUUAGUAUUCAAUUGUCAGAGGUGAAAUUCUUGGAUUUAUUGAAGACUAACUUCUGCGAAUGCAUUUGCCAAGGAUGUUUUCAUUAAUCAAGAACGAAAGUUAGGGGAUCGAAGACGAUCAGAUACCGUCGUAGUCUUAACCAUAAACUAUGCCGACUAGGGAUCGGACGAUGUUAAUUUUUCUUGACUCGUUCGGCGCCUUACGGGAAAC